GACGAACGCUGGCGGCGUGCCUAAUACAUGCAAGUCGAGCGGACGAAUCGAAAGCUUGCUUUUGAUUCGUUAGCGGCGGACGGGUGAGUAACACGUGGGCAACCUGCCCUGUAGACGGGGAUAACACCGAGAAAUCGGUGCUAAUACCGGAUAACACGAAAUGUCGCAUGACGUUUCGUUGAAAGACGGCGCAAGCUGCCGCUACAGGAUGGGCCCGCGGCGCAUUAGCUAGUUGGUGAGGUAACGGCUCACCAAGGCGACGAUACGUAGCCGACCUGAGAGGGUGAUCGGCCACGCUGGGACUGAGACACGGCCCAGACUCCUACGGGAGGCAGCAGUAGGGAAUCUUCCGCAAAGGACGAAAGUCUGACGGAGCAACGCCGCGUGAGCGAAGAAGGCCUUCGGGUCGUAAAGCUCUGUUGUUAGGGAAGAACAAGUAACGCAGUAACUGGCGUUACCGUGACGGUACCUAACGAGAAAGCCACGGCUAACUACGUG
rnacentral:rRNA from 1 species